CAGUAUCCGCGGGAACACGUAGGUGGCAAGCGUUGUCCGGAAUUAUUGGGCGUAAAGCGCGCGCAGGCGGAUCAGUUAGUCUGUCUUAAAAGUUCGGGGCUUAACCCCGUGAGGGGAUGGAAACUGCUGAUCUAGAGUAUCGGAGAGGAAAGUGGAAUUCCUAGUGUAGCGGUGAAAUGCGUAGAUAUUAGGAAGAACACCAGUGGCGGAGGCGACUUUCUGGACGAAAACUGACGCUGAGGCGCGAAAGCCAGGGUAGCGAACGGGACUAGAUACCCCAGUAGUCCCUGUCUCUUAUACA
rnacentral:rRNA from 1 species